CAUAACCAGCGGAUAGAACGCCUAUGGAGAGAUGUGUACAUCCAAGUCCUGGACCCAUUCCAUGUUCUCUUUCGAAACCUAGAAAGAGAAGGAAUGUUGAAUCCUGAUGAUGAGAGUCAUCUUUUUGCACUCCACUGGGCUUUUCUGCCUCAACUACAGAGGCAACUGGCCUUCUUCAUGGAAGCUUGGAACCGUCAUAGCCUGAGAACAGCAGGUAGCCAGUCUCCCUACCAACUUUGGGCAUCAUUCAGAAACCUUGAGGAUCCUGAUGAGGUGGAGGCAGACUAUGGUAUCGAUUGGGAUGGACCGUACGGCUUUGAUGACCUUGGACGUCAAAGGGAACAAGUUGAAGUACCUCAAGUGCAGCUGCAGCGACACCUGACUGAGGAGGACAUGGCUAGCUUACCUGACCCCAAUGUUCCCUUCUUGGAUGCACUGGACAUCUACACAGCCACACUACAGCAGUUGAUGCAGUGACAGUCUCAGUCUCCCCCUCCCCUUCUCCUAUCCAGAACUACAACCACUACUGAUAUGGCAAGAAUCAAACCCAGCAUUUUUAAAUACCGGUAACAGCAUUACAGUCAAUUAAGUUCACAUGUAAAGGUUAUAGUGCAUUUUAGUUUCAUUCUGGAAGCAAGAAGCACAACAUUUUUUUUUCUUUUUGAAGUUGUCUUUAUUCCACAACCUUAAACAUUUGUCAAUAAAAUAUCACACUCCUUAACUGUA